GACGAACGCUGGCGGCGUGCUUAACACAUGCAAGUCGAACGGAAAGGCCCUGCUUUUGUGGGGUGCUCGAUUGGCGAACGGGUGAGUAACACGUGAGUAACCUGCCCUUGACUUUGGGAUAACUUCAGGAAACUGGGGCUAAUACCGGAUAGAAGCUCCUGCUGCAUGGUGUGGGUUGGAAAGUUUCGGCGGUUGGGGAUAGACUCGCGGCUUAUCAGCUUGUUGGUGGGGUAGUGGCUUACCAGGGCUGUGACGGGUAGCCGGCCUGAGAGGGUGACCGGCCACAUGGGGACUGAGAUACGGCCCAGACUGCUACGGGCGGCAGCAGUGGGGAAUAUUGCAGAAUGGGGGGAAGCCUGAUGCAGAAGCGCCGCGUGCGGGAUGACGGCCUUCGGGUUGUAAACCGCUUUCGCCUGUGACGAAGCGUGAGUGACGGUAAUGGGUAAAGAAGCACCGGCUAACUACGUG
rnacentral:rRNA from 1 species